UACGAAGGGGGCUAGCGUUGCUCGGAAUCACUGGGCGUAAAGCGCACGUAGGCGGAUCUUUAAGUCAGGGGUGAAAUCCUGGAGCUCAACUCCAGAACUGCCUUUGAUACUGGGGGUCUCGAGUCCGGAAGAGGUGAGUGGAACUCCUAGUGUAGAGGUGGAAUUCGUAGAUAUUAGGAAGAACACCAGUGGCGAAGGCGGCUCACUGGUCCGGUACUGACGCUGAGGUGCGAAAGCGUGGGGAGCAAACAGG
rnacentral:rRNA from 1 species